UACGUAGGGGGGCUAGCGUUGUCCGGAUUUAUUGGGCGUAAAGAGCGUGUAGGCGGCCAUACAGGUCCGUUGUGAAAACUGGAGGCUUAACCUCCAGACGUCGAUGGAAACCGUAUGGCUAGAGUCCGGAAGAGGAGAGUGGAAUUCCUGGUGUAGCGGUGAAAUGCGCAGAUAUCAGGAAGAACACCCGUGGCGAAGGCGGCUCUCUGGGACGGUACUGACGCUGAGACGCGAAAGCGUGGGGAGCGAACAGG
rnacentral:rRNA from 1 species